rnacentral:other from 1 species
GCUUCCCUGUGGUGCUCGAGUAUAAAAUCAAUUCUUGAGCCAACAUUAACCAACGGGAUCGAAACUGGCUGUGGUGAGCAAGCCUCCGUCGGAGGAAGCCUGAAACAGUUCACGGAGAACCCACCUGUCCUUGGCAGGUUCAAAAACUGAUUUUGGCACGGUACACACGGGGAAGCA